rnacentral:rRNA from 1 species
UGAGACCGGCUUUUUGGGAUUCGCUCCACCUUACGGUAUCGCAGCCCUCUGUACCGGCCAUUGUAGCAUGCGUGAAGCCCAAGACAUAAGGGGCAUGAUGAUUUGACGUCAUCCCCACCUUCCUCCGAGUUGACCCCGGCAGUCUCCCAUGAGUCCCCGGCAUAACCCGCUGGCAACAUAGGACGAGGGUUGCGCUCGUUGCGGGACUUAACCCAACAUCUCACGACACGAGCUGACGACAACCAUGCACCACCUGUGUACGAGUGUCCAAAGAGAACCCCGUCUCGGGGGCUUUCUCGUACAUGUCAAGCCUUGGUAAGGUUCUUCGCGUUGCAUCGAAUUAAUCCGCAUGCUCCGCCGCUUGUGCGGGCCCCCGUCAAUUCCUUUGAGUUUUAGCCUUGCGGCCGUACUCCCCAGGCGGGGCACUUAAUGCGUUAGCUGCGGCACGGAACUCGUGGAAUGAGCCCCACACCUAGUGCCCAACGUUUACGGCAUGGACUACCAGGGUAUCUAAUCCUGUUCGCUCCCCAUGCUUUCGCUCCUCAGCGUCAGUUGCGGCCCAGAGACCUGCCUUCGCCAUCGGUGUUCCUCCUGAUAUCUGCGCAUUCCACCGCUACACCAGGAAUUCCAGUCUCCCCUACCGCACUCUAGUCUGCCCGUACCCGAUGCAAGCCCGAGGUUGAGCCUCGGGAUUUCACACCAGACGCGACAGACCGCCUACGAGCUCUUUACGCCCAAUAAUUCCGGACAACGCUUGCGCCCUACGUAUUACCGCGGCUGCUGGCACGUAGUUAGCCGGCGCUUCUUCUGCAGGUACCGUCACUUGCGCUUCUUCCCUGCUGAAAGAGGUUUACAACCCGAAGGCCGUCAUCCCUCACGCGGCGUCGCUGCAUCAGGCUUGCGCCCAUUGUGCAAUAUUCCCCACUGCUGCCUCCCGUAGGAGUCUGGGCCGUGUCUCAGUCCCAGUGUGGCCGGUCGCCCUCUCAGGCCGGCUACCCGUCGACGCCUUGGUAGGCCAUCACCCCACCAACAAGCUGAUAGGCCGCGAGCCCAUCCCCCACCGAAAAACUUUCCAACCCACACCAUGCGAUGCGAGCUCAUAUCCGGUAUUAGACCCCGUUUCCAAGGCUUAUCCCGAAGUGGAGGGCAGGUUGCUCACGUGUUACUCACCCGUUCGCCACUGAUCCACCCAGCAAGCUGGGCUUCACCGU